rnacentral:rRNA from 1 species
UUGCUCCUGAUGUUAGCGGCGGACGGGUGAGUAACACGUGGGUAACCUGCCUGUAAGACUGGGAUAACUCCGGGAAACCGGGGCUAAUACCGGAUGCUUGUUUGAACCGCAUGGUUCAAACAUAAAAGGUGGCUUCGGCUACCACUUACAGAUGGACCCGCGGCGCAUUAGCUAGUUGGUGAGGUAACGGCUCACCAAGGCAACGAUGCGUAGCCGACCUGAGAGGGUGAUCGGCCACACUGGGACUGAGACACGGCCCAGACUCCUACGGGAGGCAGCAGUAGGGAAUCUUCCGCAAUGGACGAAAGUCUGACGGAGCAACGCCGCGUGAGUGAUGAAGGUUUUCGGAUCGUAAAGCUCUGUUGUUAGGGAAGAACAAGUACCGUUCGAAUAGGGCGGUACCUUGACGGUACCUAACCAGAAAGCCACGGCUAACUACGUGCCAGCAGCCGCGGUAAUACGUAGGUGGCAAGCGUUGUCCGGAAUUAUUGGGCGUAAAGGGCUCGCAGGCGGUUUCUUAAGUCUGAUGUGAAAGCCCCCGGCUCAACCGGGGAGGGUCAUUGGAAACUGGGGAACUUGAGUGCAGAAGAGGAGAGUGGAAUUCCACGUGUAGCGGUGAAAUGCGUAGAGAUGUGGAGGAACACCAGUGGCGAAGGCGACUCUCUGGUCUGUAACUGACGCUGAGGAGCGAAAGCGUGGGGAGCGAACAGGAUUAGAUACCCUGGUAGUCCACGCCGUAAACGAUGAGUGCUAAGUGUUAGGGGGUUUCCGCCCCUUAGUGCUGCAGCUAACGCAUUAAGCACUCCGCCUGGGGAGUACGGUCGCAAGACUGAAACUCAAAGGAAUUGACGGGGGCCCGCACAAGCGGUGGAGCAUGUGGUUUAAUUCGAAGCAACGCGAAGAACCUUACCAGGUCUUGACAUCCUCUGACAAUCCUAGAGAUAGGACGUCCCCUUCGGGGGCAGAGUGACAGGUGGUGCAUGGUUGUCGUCAGCUCGUGUCGUGAGAUGUUGGGUUAAGUCCCGCAACGAGCGCAACCCUUGAUCUUAGUUGCCAGCAUUCAGUUGGGCACUCUAAGGUGACUGCCGGUGACAAACCGGAGGAAGGUGGGGAUGACGUCAAAUCAUCAUGCCCCUUAUGACCUGGGCUACACACGUGCUACAAUGGACAGAACAAAGGGCAGCGAAACCGCGAGGUUAAGCCAAUCCCACAAAUCUGUUCUCAGUUCGGAUCGCAGUCUGCAACUCGACUGCGUGAAGCUGGAAUCGCUAGUAAUCGCGAUCAGCUG